GAGGGUAUAGCUCAGUGGUAGAGUAUGUGCUUAGCAUGAACGAAGUCCUGAAUUCAAUCCCCAGUACCUCUA
rnacentral:tRNA from 1 species